rnacentral:lncRNA from 1 species
CCGUAUUUCUCUUUUCUUACUAUCUGAAGAAUGGUAAAAAGUUAAUUUUAUGCUAAAAGAGAAAAAGACAGAUAAUUCUGGAAGCAUGCUCUUCCAUCUUCUUCCCAGGUGGGUAUCGCCAUUUAGGUAUUCUUUUCUUUUAUUUGUAGCCCAAAUCUUCUUUCAGCUCUUUACACUCUCUCUUCAAUCUUUUUCAGAUUGAGCAUCUCAAGCUGAAUGAGAUAUGCUUCUGUUAAUUUUUGCAGAGAAAUUGUUACUACCAGGGUAGAAAAAGAUGUUGAGGGAGACAAAUUUUUUGGCCUUUGUCGCAACAUUAAUUUCAUUUUGUUACCCUUUCAUCGGAUUGGGUCUUGUGAUUGGUAAAGCCUCGACUGUUCUCUUUCUCAUUUUGUUUCUUGUUUUUCAUCUUAAGUUCCAAAAAUAUAUCGAAGAAUCUUGUGUAUUUUGAUCUUAGUUCCAAUCAUGGAGAAAGCAUUUAUAGGUAUUAUGUAAUGAUAUUUUGCAACUCUAAAAGUCUUAACUUAUGACAUUUCUUAAUAUAUCAUAGUGAGAUAUAAAUUGAUCCAGCUCUUAGAAUUUGUCUUGAUACUAGAUCAUUGAAUAUUGAUUUAUACAGCAGACCUCAACUUGUUUGAGACUGAGGCAUAUUUGUCAUCGUAUAAUUUUUCCAAAACUUGCUCAUGAUUAAUAUUGGAGCGUAAAUAUCAACUUAGCUAAUAUUUCUGAAACCAAACAAGACAUACACUUGGUUGGAAUAAGGUCACAAAAAGUAUCACACAGACUACUGAUGUUUCUCUUAAUUUUAAAGCUGUUCUUUUUUAUGGAGUGAAGGAUACACUAAAAUCACCUCCACCAGAAAAUCAGACCAUGAAGAAGGCGUCAAUAAGCGCUAUAGUUAUUACCACUUUAUUUUAUCUAUGUUGUAGUUUCUUCGGAUAUGCAGCCGUUGGGAACGACAUACCUGCAGGGAACCUCUUGACAGGUUUCUACAAGCCGUUUUGGCUUGUUGAUUUUGCCAAUGACUGCAUAGUCCUUCAUCUGUUUGGAAGGUAUUAGGUAGAACAAAAAUUCGAGUGUUUUCCUUCCGCCCUUUACUUAGUUAAUGAAAAUUUUAACUUUAACAUGACAAAUGCUUGUUUCCUUAGGUAUAUAGCCAGCCAGUAUUCCCAUUUGUUGAAAAAAUGGGCAAUUCAGAAGUACCUGAAAAUAGAUUUUUAAAAGUUCUACGCCAUCAAACUUCCAACAUUCCUAGCUCUUCAGUUGAACCUCUUUUGGUUAUGUUUUCGGACUUUAUAUGUUAUAGCUAGAACAUCAAUAGCAUUGACAUUCCCUUAAUUCAAUCAGGUAUUUGAAAUCUUGAGAGGAUUGAACUUUUGGCCUAUGACCAUAUAUUUUCCAGUGGAAAUGUACAUUGUGCAAGGAAAAAUUGGAGCUUGGACAAAAAACUGAAUACAUCUUGAAGGUUUCAGUCUGCUUGAUUGAGCAUUUCUGAAAAUAUUAAUAGUUAUUCUGAAAAGAGUCAUAAGGUACAUGGUGAUUUCUUUUCACGUUUUGCUUUGAUCAGAUGUUCUCUCCAAUUAUUUCUUUCCAUCGUUUGCUUACUACAUUGUUUUCUUUAGGAUUUCUCUGUUACUCCAUGUAUCCAUCCAUGUCCUGCUGGUAAUUGGUAAAGUGGACUCAGUUAAUUUAGAAUUUGAACUUGAAGUCGAUUUUUGCCUACUAGGUAUUCUCAAACAUUCAGCUACGCAGGAAAGGCUAUCUAACCACCAGGUUUGGUUUGAAUAGAGAUUCAAAUGUUGUCUUUUCCUAGGUUCUACUUCUAACUUUCCUUUACAUGUUCUAAAUUGUUGGAAAUCAUCAACUUGAUGUUUGUGCUGCAUUCCCCUACUUUUAUUAGAGCGAACAAAUUCCUGCUUAUUUUACAAAAGUCAUUCCAAGUACAUGCAUUACUUCUAUUGAUCCACCAUGUUCAUCCACUAACUUCUCAAAGUUGCAGAGAUAUUUUUAGAUUAUGACAUUUCCUCUAAAAUGUUGAUUAGGAAUCUGUAAAGCUUGCUUAAUGUUGGAUAAUAGAAAAGAUAUGACUUUCCCUAUCUUGAUAUAGAAGUUUACUGUAAGCAGUGAUGUGAAAAUAUUGAUAAAUUUCCAUGUGAAUGAACAGACAAAGAAAAGAUCAUUAAAGUACUAUCUAUGUAGAAGAUCUCAUUUAGAAUUAUAUGUCGGAAUUCUUUCUGUUAUCCUUGACAUUGACAAACAAAUCAUGUUCUUCACAUUUUCCUUAUUCAAUUAUGUAUAUUCAUCAGUUUUUACUUGUCAGAGUAUCUUCUUCUUCAUUUUUAGCCGCUACACCAAAACAAAUUAAAGAAACUAUGAAGUUGGGUGGCUUCAUCCAUGAUGAAGUGAAAACCAUUGACAAUUGCUCUUUUUGUGUAUAUACAUUAGUAUUCUUUAUCAAUUCUCCUAUAGCAUUCACGUUUUUUUAUUUACAUGGCGCUUGAUUCUAGAUAUAUUACUGAAAUGCUUCUUAAAUUGCAGAUAAGCAUAUUUCAUAUUUGGUGUCUUCCAAUCCUAAGCUGUCCAAAAAUCAUUGUUUAUGUAGGAGUACAAUGUAUAAUUAAAUAUACAUACUUUCUAAGGACGUUUGCUAUUUGCCCAUGAUAGAACAAACUAUAUUUUGUUGCAAUGCAGUUGUAACUUACAACCACCUGAUCAUGUGAUUAAUUUGGAAGUUUUGACUGAUAGACUAUGGUGCUCAAACUCUGUUAAAAUGUCAUCGGGUUUGUGUUGGAUCCUUCAAAAGUAGUGUAUUUUUGUUGGAUCUAAUAGGUGCAACAACACUUUUGAAGUACUACUGUUGAAGUUAUUUAGGCUAAUAGGUUUUUUUUGUUUCAGGUUUGAAUGAUGGAUGAUAAACACAAGUGAUAAAUCUAUUGUGAAGGGUGGAUUCAUUUUUCUUGGGGAAAAUGUAGACAAACACAUUAUUUGUGCUCUUUUUUUUGUGAAUUUCAAAGUUAAUUUUCAAUUAGAUGUAUACAAAUGGUGGUGAUGGAGCUACUGGUUCUUACCUAUGAAGUAUGCUCAUGUAGCUAUGGUUGCAAUGAAUUUUAUGGGAAGAGUUAGGCACCUGUAACGUAUUUUGAAGAUUGUUGCCAUAUUUUAAAAAGAAUGCUUAUGCUUCUAUGUUGUUUCAGUGUGAUUUUAGA